CUCCCUCUCCUCCUCCUCCUCCUCCCACUCCCUCUCUCCCUCCCUUGCUUGCUAUCCAUCUCUCCCCACCCUUCCCAGCGCCCGCCCUCCCCACCGGUUUGCAUCAUCACGCAGGGAGGGGCUGCGUGCUGAGCAGGUCUGCAGCAGAAACUGGGAUCCUGUCGGUGUGGUGUCUUUUCCUUUCUUUCUACAACAGAAGAAACAACUAAGAACUCCAGCACUUGCCCCACUAGCGCUGAGGUGGCAGGUGUAAGGCUCCCUCCUACCUAUUUCCAGAGAUACUUCUGGGCUGGUGACAGAUUUUUUUUGUCCUUGUUGUUAGGAAAGAGCAUGAAAGAGGUGGUCCUGGAUUCUAUAAGAAAGAAAACUGAGCAAGCCAUAUGGAACACGCCAGUCAGCAGCAGCCCUCCAUGUCCUCUGAAUCAGCUCCCAUCUCCAGCUUCCUUCACUGUUUUGUUAAUAACUUCCUUCAGUGAUGCACUAUGAUGUACAAGUGUAAGCCAAAAAUUGUAAGCCAAACUAUUUUCUCCAACUUGCUUCUGAUCAUCAUGUUUCAUUACAGCAAUGGUAACCCUAAGAUAUCACUCUUUUCUCUUUUCAUUCUCUCCAAACACCUGGCAGCCAGAAUUAUAUCCCUUGUAGUACAUUGAUUGUGUUUGUAAGAUUCUUAAGGAUAUGAAGUGGGGUGUUAGUUAUCUCUUCAUUAAGGACAAUGUUUUCAAUGUUGUCUGUUUCUAAGAUUUGCUCAUGGUUGAGUGAAUCAAAACUGAUUCUCUUACUCUGCUGCUUUUACCUGGAAGCAACCAGAAACAAAAAUAAACAGAGAAGAAAUAUGGACACAUAAAUUGCCCAGCCCUUAGUCACUAUGUGUGGUUUCUGGAAUAUAAUGGAUAAUAAAUGUUCUUUGAAACACUCUUGUAUAGAAAAAAAUUGGAAGACUGAAACAGCCUCACCUAACCUUGAGGCACUUGAUCAACUUUCAUGAAAGCUUAGAUUGGUUCUUCUAGAGUUAAGACCUCAUUCUCAGACCAAUAACUGAGCCUACUGUCAUAAACUGCCUGAAGGAGGUGAGAGACACUGAGCUCCUUUUUGUAACUAGACACUAGCAUACUUGAAUCACAUAGAACAUGAAGUCUGUUACCAGAGAAACUACAAGUGAUACUAAGCCUGCAGAAUCACUAUGCAUUUAGAACCCACAUCAUCACAUUCAUUUUUCUAUAUUUAGCCACAGUGGAGAAUCCAACCUUUCAUAUUAGGUACUCUAUUUUUGCAUUGAGUAGAUAAACUGAAAUCUACCCAUAGAAAUAGUUCAAGUAGAACUUGGAUAACCACCAUUCUAAGGGCAUAUUUAGCAGGAGGAGGAGAAUCUAGUUUUGGCCAAAGAUGAUAUAUUAUAAAGCGUGUCUGUAGGCUUGAUUCUGUCUAAGCGUUCAUCUUUACUCAUGGCCUCACAAAAACCAUCUAACUGAAUUAUAAGAGUUCCAUCCUAUUUUUUGUUGUUGCUACUGCUGUUCAAUUUUGUUUUCUAGAUCAGCUCCAUUUUAAAUGUUUUUUUAAAUUUUUAUUUUAUGUACUUGAGUGUUCCUUUUAUGUAUGUAUGGGCACCUUGUGCACGUGGUUCACACAGAGGAAUGGAUCAGCAGUUAAAAGCACUUCCUGCUCUUCGAGGGGAUCUGUGGUAAGUUCCCAGAGCCCAUAUGGUGACUCACAACCAUCUGUAACUUCAUUACAUGAAUUCGGGUUACUUUAUCUGGACUUCCUUAGAAUCAGACACAUGUUGAACAUAUAUACAUACAUGUAAAGCACUCAGAUGCACAAAAUGAAAAUAGAUAUAUUAAAAUUAUCUCAGUAUUAAUAAAUAUUAUAUUAAUGCAUUUGUGUUAAGGUUGAAUGUUUUCUAUGGAUAAGCAUUACCAUGACCUUUUGCUUUUCAAAUGUCCCUAGAACAUAUCAACUUAGUCCUCAACAUAUGUACAUUUAACAUAUUACAUUACUACUAUCAUUGUUUUUAUUGACCAGGAGAUAGACUGGACAGAGCAUAACAGAUAUGGGUUCAUUUCUUUUGUGACUUUAGGUUGCUUUCUGAGUUAUCUGUAUGCCAUGCAGCUUUUGUGCUUUCUGUCUGGCCUUAAGAUGCCCCACAGGCGCGCUCUCUCUCUCUCUCUCUCUCUCUCUCUCUCUCUCUCUCUCUCUCGCUCUCUCUCGCUCUCUCUCUCGCUCUCUCGCUCUCUCGCUCUCUCGCUCUCUCUCUCUCUUAUCCAAUGUGCUUAAUUCAUAGAUUUUGCCUGUUGCAUCUCUCAAAUCUCAUAGGCCAGUCUAGGUGUAGAGGCUUUAAAACCACAAAGAGAAUCUAAUUCAGAACCAAAGGAGACCUCAAUGAUCUAAUUGCUUUCUCCUUUGACUAUAGAAGGAGAACAUUUUUUACCUGCCCUUUGGUUGAGAGUGUCAGUUGAAUUUAGAGAAAAUCAGUUGCAAACGUGAUUCUUUGGGUAAUGCUAAGCCUCCCCUUCCCUAUAGUAUUUUGUUGCCCUUCAAAAAUGUAUCCCUUCUAUGGAUGUGAAACAGAUAGCAAAAUGACUUGUUACUUGCCAAGCAAAAAUUCUUCCCUGUGUUGGUUUCUAGACAAGCCAGUCUGCAAGAACUUAUAUCCCCUCCCAUUCCCCAAAUCUUUUCAAUGUCUCCUUAACUUGGUAGAGAAUGGGAAGUCACUUCUCUUACACUGACAACAUCGAAAACCACUCCUUUGAAAACACAUCUCUUUUAGUCACUUUUCUGAGUAAGGCUGAUAAGUUAGGACAGGAGAGGAACUUAGAUUUUGAUGUAAUGAAACUCAAACGAGGCAGUUCUCUUAGCUAUUUAUAUAUGAAGAUAGAGACCAAAGAUUUCUGGGAGCUGCCAUUUCUACAAUAUGAACAAAAAAAGUCACAGAAUUAAAUGAAACCACAAAGGGAAGAAGAUUAAGGUGUGGAACAAAGGGUAGAGCCCCAGCAAGGUCAUGGGAGAUGCUGAGUUCAGCCACGGGUCUAGCUCCAUUUACCACUGAGCUUUCCAUCUUCCUACUCACUUCCAUCUGUUUUGUUGUUAAAUUUAUUUGAUGUAGGGCUUCCUGUAUCUCAAACUUGCCUUGAGCUUGCUGUGUUGGUGGCAACGACAUUGAACUCCUGAUCCUCCUUCUUCUUCCUUCUAAGUGAUGCAAUUACAGACACACUUCACCACCUUUGGCUGUCCCAUCCUUUUGAAAAGCUAGUUUGAGUUUGUUCUCUCAUAAUCAGGGGUGCUAAUUUAGACAGUUAGAGCUUAAAGAUAAGCAGAUAAUUAAAUAUAUAAGAAGAUACUGCUUAUUAGAUUUCCGUGAGAAUGAAUUACUGAAUCUAUAACUUGGUGAUAAUAGAGUGCAGUGGCCUUCAAGUUAGCUCUCCAUAUGACUACUGACCUUGAGAAAAUAAUGGUAAGCACCAAAUGAUCAUUUUAGGGAAGAUAAAAUGAAAAUAUAGUAAGCACUAAGUAUAUAUGAUGAGUCUUUAAAGAGUCUUAAGAUUCAGUGUAUUAUACUCAUCUCUGCAUAGCUGAAGAUGGCCUUACUGACCUUCUGAUUAUUCCGUCUCUCAUCUCCCAAAUACUGACAUUACAGUCAUCUGCCAUACCUGGUUUCUUGCAGUGCUGGGGAUAAAUCCAGGGCUUUUGAAUCUGGGCAAGUCCUCUACAAACAUUUCUACACCAUUAUCCCCAAGUUCAAUGGCCUUUAGUGGACAGUAAAAUGCAGCCACUUUCCUGUGAUAGAUUUAUGCUAUUUAAUAUUCAAUAAAUAUUAGGAGGACAUUUAUAAAAUGGGGGGAAAUACCUAGUUAAUAAAACAGAUUUUGAAAUUGUCAACUUUGAAUUAGCUCACAAGUGCAAUAAAAUAGCAAGUUAAACAGACUACUGAAAUUCCUUCAAUGACUUUUGAAAUUAUAUGGAGGAAAGUCUUUUGCAGAUGCAAUUAAAAAAAAAAAACAUUAAUCGAUUGACUCAAAGAUAGAUUAUCCAGUGAGUUUAUUGACAUCACAUAAGCACCUUAAAAGACAAAAGAAAAGGGCAGAGGUUGCAAGCAGGAGAGGGGAUUUCACUCAAAUGAUACUCUUUCCUUUCAAGAGAGAGGCACCUAUGCAAGGACCUGAGAGUGGACCCAGACACUCUGUAUCUUUUGGAAGGUGGCCAGAACGGAGGCAGGCAGAUCACUCUUACAUUUUCAAGGAGCCAACAUCUACUAACAAUCUAGAGAAGGCUGGAAGGGGAUUCUUCCCUGAAAGCCUUCAGAUAAUGGGUUGCUAGCUGACAUCUUCAACCUUGUGAUACUAAGAAGGGAAUCUGUGGACCUGAAUACACUGCACUUGAUGUGCAGAAGAGUGAGGUAAAUUAUUGUUGGCUUAUGCCACUAAAUCUUUGUUCUUCAAACAUAGGAAUAGGGAACUAAUACAAAACAUAUUUUAAAACCUUGAGCAUUUUAUGGGAAAGUGAGGUCACUAAGCUGGGUAAAGGGCUUGUCUCCAAGCAUCUGGACCUGGAUUCUACCUCAGGGACCCACAUAGUGGAAGGAGAAAUUUUACUCCUCCAUCCUGUCCUCUGACUUCCACAGGUAUGACUAUAUCAUAAAUGAUGUAAUUAACAAUUUCCUCAAAGGUUCAACAAUUUUAAAGUGUGUGGUGAGAUAGUUGAAAACAUUUAAAACACCAAACAAAUGAAUGCCUAAAAAUGAAAAACAACAGGAAAUACAGUAUCCUUAAUCCAAAGUAUCCAUAUAGCACCAGGUGUACAUUGUGAGGGAAAUGAUCUUGAAGUUUCCUAGAACACCAAUCAAAACAUAACAGCCCCUCCCACCAUAUUACUCUCUAAAACACAUCUUAAUACAUUUUAAAGGAUGAAACUUAUUCUGACAGUAAUGAAAUUAAAGUAAAAUCAACAAAAAUAUUACCUAGAAAGUGAACCUGUAUUUAAAAUGAAACAGCAUAACCCUCCCCAAACCCAAGAGCCAUUCAAAAGAAAUACAAAGAAGAAAAUAUUUUAUAAGACUGAAAAUAAAAGUAUGUUUUCUAAAUUUGUAUAAUGUGAGCAACUAAUCUUAGGGAAAUAUUGACAACUAAAUCCUGACACCAGAAAAAAAAAUUAAAUUCAAUCACCUAAACUGUACAUUAAAACACAGAAAGAUUUUAAAAAAUGAAUGACACUCCAAUGAAGCAAAAAAAAAAAAAGACUAGGGAGAAAAAAAUCGGAAAUGACAGAAGCUGGUCUGUAAAAUUGACUCCUUGACUGUACAGAUGAAGAACAACAGGAGACGAGUGGUGGGGGGAGCACAGAGAUUGCCAGUCUGAAGGGAGAGUCCAUGUCUUGACCUUAGACAUUAAAAAAUAAUGUGAAUGAUUUCAUGUCCAAAAAGGAGUAACAGAAGGAAAUGUACAAAUUUACUGAACUUCCCACUUUACCAAAACUGACUUAGAAAGAAAAGGAGAACUCUGAAAAAGAUUUAUGUCUCUCACGUUUAUUUUAUGACCAUAAGCUUUCAAAAUGUUGCCUCUGGCAAGUGGUGGGAGUAGAAAUUAACUGGAAAAGGGCACAAGAGAUCUUAUUAAAGGUACAGAAACAUUCUAAAACUGAUUUAUGGUAAUGGCUGCAAAACUUGGUAAAGUUAGUAGAAAUUAUUAAAUUGUACACUUGAAAUGGAUGGUUUUCAUAACUAAAAUGUAUCUCAAUAAAGCUGUUUAAAAUAAGA